rnacentral:rRNA from 1 species
AACGAACGCUGGCGGCAUGCCUAACACAUGCAAGUCGAACGAGACCUUCGUGUCUAGUUGCUCUCGGGUGCGUCACGCGUCGGACCCUUCCCUUAGGUUCGGAAUACUUCCCUUUCCGGGGUGCUCAUACCGGUUAAUUUCUUCGGACCACAGAUUUAUCGACUUUGUGUGGGCCUGCGUUGGUUUAGCUUGUUGGUAUGGUAAAAGCCUACCAAGGCGUCGAUCCAUAGCUGGUCUGAGAGGAUGAUCAGCCACACUGGAUGUGAGACCCGGCCCAGACUACUACGGGAUGCAGCAGUGGGUAAUACUGGACAAUGGGCGAAAGCCUGAUCCAGCAAUGCCGGGUGAGUGAUUAAGGCCUUAGAGAUGUACAGCUCUUUUAUCCGGGGUGAUAAUGACAGUACCGGGAGAAUAAGCACCGGCUAACUCCGUG